GACGAACGCUGGCGGCGUGCCUAAUGCAUGCAAGUCGCACGCAGCACCGUCGGGUGCUGAGUGGCGAACGUCGGAGGAACACGUGGGGACCUGCCUGGGAGUGCGGGACAUCACCGCGAAAGCGGUUCUAAUCCCCCAUACGCACUGAGGAGGAAAGCGGAAAGCCGCUCCCGGAUGGCUCUGCGGCGCAUCAGGUGGUUGGUGGGGUAACGGCCUACCAAGCUAAUGACGGGUCACUGGUCUGUGAGGACGAGCUGCCAGACCGGUACUGGGGCACGGGUCAGACUCCUACGGGAGGGAGCAGCAAGGAAUCUUCGGCACUGGGCGCGAGCCUGACCGGGCAACGCAGCGUGCAGGACGACGGCCUUCGAGUUGUAAACUGCUUUUGAUAGGGAUGAUACCAGACGGUACCUAGCCAAUCAGCCCCGGCUAACUAUGUG
rnacentral:rRNA from 1 species